rnacentral:rRNA from 1 species
CCUACGGGGCGCAGCAGUAGGGAAUCUUCCACAAUGGACGAAAGUCUGAUGGAGCAACGCCGCGUGAGUGAAGAAGGGUUUCGGCUCGUAAAGCUCUGUUGGUAGUGAAGAAAGAUAGAGGUAGUAACUGGCCUUUAUUUGACGGUAAUUACUUAGAAAGUCACGGCUAACUACGUGCCAGCAGCCGCGGUAAUACGUAGGUGGCAAGCGUUGUCCGGAUUUAUUGGGCGUAAAGCGAGUGCAGGCGGUUCCAUAAGUCUGAUGUGGAAACCCUCUGCUCCACCGGGGGAAU